rnacentral:rRNA from 1 species
UACGAAGGGUGCAAACGUUGCUCGGAAUUAUUGGGCGUAAAGCGCACGUAGGCGGCAUUGCGAGUCGGAUGUGAAAUCUUAUGGCUUAACCAUAAAAGUGCAUCCGAAACUGCAGUGCUUGAGUACUUAAGAGGAUCGCGGAAUUCCCGGUGUAGAGGUGAAAUUCGUAGAUAUCGGGAGGAACACCAGUGGCGAAGGCGGCGAUCUGGGAAGAUACUGACGCUGAGGUGCGAAAGCGUGGGGAGCAAACAGG